rnacentral:rRNA from 1 species
GGGUCAGUAGGUUGGUCGUGCCACCGGUACGUACUGGUCUCACUGAUUCCUCCUUCCUGAAGAACCGUAAUGCCAUUAAUUUGGUGUUGCGGGGAAACAGGACUGUUACUUUGAAAAAAUUAGAGUGUUUAAAGCAAGCUGACGCUUGAAUACAUUAGCAUGGAAUAAUGAAAUAGGACGAUCGAUCCUAUUUUGUUGGUUUCUAGGAUUGACGUA